AAAUAAAUUAAUGAUACAGAAAUGAAUUAAUGAUACUCGUAUUAAAUUCUUAUAGACACAUUUGACCUCAGCAAUGCUAAGUUGCUAACAUCAU